UACGUAGGGGGCUAGCGUUGUCCGGAAUCAUUGGGCGUAAAGCGCGUGUAGGCGGUCCGGUAAGUCCGCUGUGAAAGUCGGGGGCUCAACCCUCGAAUGCCGGUGGAUACUGUCGGGCUAGAGUGCGGAAGAGGCGAGUGGAAUUCCUGGUGUAGCGGUGAAAUGCGCAGAUAUCAGGAGGAACACCAAUAGCGAAGGCAGCUCGCUGGGACGGUACUGACGCUAAGGCGCGAAGGCGUGGGGAGCGAACAGG
rnacentral:rRNA from 1 species